GUUUUCGCUCUAUUUUUGGGGCGAAGCUCGAUAGGCGCGUUUGAGUUUUGCUUUUAUGAGAUGCUUCUCCUCUCUCUCUCUCUUUCUCUCUCUCUGAGUUGUGAGUUGUCGUUCUCGUUGAGGAUUAAAAACGUAUGCCAAAGCGAUUCUGAAUCUUCUGGACCUGCAAUGCCAAAUCUUUUCAAUCCUUAACUCCAAUUUCUUCGUCUCAUUAUCCCGUUUGACCUCUCGGUGAGUUCCAAAUCUCAAAUGUAACCGCCAUUGCCACCUGGUUUUCGAUCUCGGCGUAUUUCUUCUAAUUUUUUUUUUUUUUUUAACUCUCAGUUCUUGGUUGAUUUUCAACUUUUUAAAUCUACUUUGCUCCAAAAAAAUUUUUUUUUCACAAUUUCAGAUUUAUUCUAGUUUCAGGAAAAAAAUGAUUCUUCAAUAUCUACAUUUAUCUGUACUUUUUUUUUUUUUUUCUAAUCUAUUCGCUAAAAUUUUGCAUGGUUUUGGUUAUUUAGGAGACAAAUAGGGAGAGUGAAGCAUUAGAAUUGCUAUAAAACCAACGUGAUUACAAAGAACGAAAGAAUGUGAUGCUCAAUUUGUUAAAUGUUAAAUUUUAUCUGAUUGAUUCUAGGGCUUAGCUAAUAGCUGAACCGUUUCUAAGAAGUGUAAAAUGAUGAUGCACAUAGAGAUUAUUUUUAAUUUUCCCUAUCAUAUACUCUUUUUACUUUUUUUUUUUUUUUUUUAAUUGUGUUUAGAAAGUGGAAGAUGUGAUUUGGAAAUUUAGGGAUGCUGGUAUAAUGUUAAUAAGGUAAAAGAUUGACAUUGUGUUUCUGGUAUUAUUGUGUAUGUAGUUAUACAUAAGUCAUUCCGCUUUUCAAGAUUUGUUUGAUUUUCUAAUUUUUGCAUAUCUUCUUCCUCGUUUUGGUACUAGAUUUUAAAAUAAUUUAUUUGUCUUUUAUGAAAAUUUGGCAUUUUAUUCUCAAUUAUUUUUGUUCACAUAAUUCACUCAAUUUUUAGUUAGAUCCUGAACAAGCAUGAUUGUCCUCGUGAGGCCUAUUUAGUAUUUUGGCCAAAUAUUUCCUCCUUAUCAGUCAUGUAGUUGUAGCUUCCAAUCCAAUGGUUAGUUGUACAGUUUAGGCUCUCCAAUUUUCAGUUAUAUGUGAUUGUGAGUUUCGUAUGCAUGCAUGUCCUGAGGCAAUGUUUUUCACUUUUAUGUCUUAUCUUUGGUUGUCCGUUGGUCUUUCAGUUCUUUAAAUGCUGCAGAGCUAUGCCGCGUGGCAUAACAUUUCCUUUGUACUGGACUACAUAUUGAUUAAUAAAAAAAUAGUUUAAGAAAAGUAUAUACUGUGCUGAACUAGAUUUAUGCAUUCUUCUAAAUGUUUAACACACUGAAGAGAUGUUAAAACAAUUCAUGGGGGGACUUAUUUUAGUUUUCUAAAUAAUUAUAGAAAUUUCAAAACCUUAUUUGAUUCUUCUUUUCCUUUCAUCUCAUACUUAUUUAUUUCUGGAAUGAAUCAUUUGAUUUUUUUUCUUUUUUUAAUAAGAAAUUUAUGCGUGUUUGAGAUUUUCAUGAUAAAUUUGGUUAUUAUGACUUGGUCUGGUUUCUUUAUGCAACUUUGACGUCAACAGUGCAGUCUUUGACUCUGAAACCACAGAUAUUUCUCCAUUCUCUUUACGAAGGUGGAGUUGAUUACCAAAGGAAGGCUGUUAAAAGCUUGCGCAUGCUGUUAUUUACAACACGUGUCUUGUAAACUAUUUGUAUCUCCCAGUGCUUGCUGUAAUUGAAUUUGUGAUGAUUAUGAUUUGAAUUCUCAAAAAUCUUUGGAGUUAUGAGGUGUAGAAAAUAUUUGAAAUUCCGCAGAGAUAUACCCUUUUCAGCACGUAAUCAUGUAAGAGUCAAAUGUUGAUGUGAUAAGUGGUGCAUGUGGAUGCUGAUUGACUUGGUAUUCAGGGGGCAAAAUUAUCUGUUGACUUUAAUAUUUUGUGUUUAAGUCAACUAUUGUUGUCUAGUAAAUUUCAUAAAAUAUUAUGUUGACAUAUAUAGUUUAAACUGUAUUGGAAAUUGAAUCUUGACUUACAUAUUUAUUUUUGCCAAAGUCGUCCUUAUGAGUCUUUACCACAUUAGCCGAUCCUUGUGGACGCAAGUUAGUUUCAUAGCUGGUCAUGUAUGUUGAAAAUUGACACUUUUAUGUGAUAGACUAAGGCACAAAAACCACAUAAUUUGCUUUCGAGUGGUUGGUCACAAUAAUGCCACAUUUAAAGAUUGCCAAGUCCAGAGUUUCGGUCUUCGCAAAUUUGAAAUUGUGUAAUUUACUAAUAACAUGCUUAAAUUACGUUUGAGGAUUCAUGCUGCAUCAACAUUAUUUCUGAAAGGAUGGAUUGAAAUAGCAAUUCAUUGGUCAGAUUUGAAAAUGUAUAAUACUGCAUAGAUAUGUCAUUUUUAGUUAUCACAUGGUUAUAUAUUGGAUACACAAUGGCCAUUCUACGUUCCCUGGAAAGCAUACAUAGGGUUAUGAUGCUAUACCUAACAUUUGGUAGAAUGUUCACCUGUUCAGCAUUUGAAAAUUUCCACCAUAUUAUCUUUUACUCAUCAGUGACUAUUAUGAUAAGAUCACAGCAGCUAAUGCAGGUGCUGUUGUUGCAUUCGUGAUCUAAUGGUUAUCUUGAAAAUAUGCAUGAAGAAGAAUUUGAUUUUUUUCAGAUGAGGUGUUGAUCUCUUUAAAGCAAUAUACUUGACAAGAAGGUUUUGCCACCGCUUAUUAGUAGAUUGACUCCUCAGCGGAUCAAGUUAAAGCAAUUUGGCAUUGUACAUCACGUGCAGUGUCCACUGUCCAAUUGGGCCGUUCUGACUUCUGGUCACCUGGAGAAAGUUGUCAAUAAUUGUAUCACCACCAAACAGAGCUAGUACUUGCGUAAGAUUCGUGAUAUUGAUUGUCUUGCUGAUGGUUGAAGAAAUUAAUAAUUGGCCUCGUCACUGCAAUGGUUAUCAGUACUUGAACCCAAAUAAAAGGAAAAUGAAACUGGGAGAAGCUUGUUAAUGCUUGACUCCAAAGAAAAAGAAAAAGAAAUAGGGAGAAGCUUGUAAAUAUCGUAUGCCUUGGAGAAACUUUGUACAUUAGCGGUAAGUCUGAUUGGUAGUGUAUCCUUGCUGCUUAACCAAAUAACUUUCUGUUUUCUGAUAUAUGCACAACGACCUAUUGAUUUGGUCUCUAUACAUAUGUAUAUAUAUAUGUAUAUAUAAAACUUUUCUUUCCUUUUUUGUUA